CACAUCAGCGCGCUUUGCUGACGUGGCAACAAAUCGCUCCCUUAGGGCCACGCUUUGUUGCCACGUCAGCAAAGUGCGUUGACGUGG
rfam:Gossypium raimondii Chr09_contig_1333, whole genome shotgun sequence.